CCUAAAGGCUUCUGCUGUUCUUGAGCAGGAAGACGCGGGCCGGCACGAGCAACCGUGGACGUUCAAUGGCAGCCCAGGGCAGCAGCACCAGCAACUUUCCAGGAGCAAACUUCCAAGUGAGAAGACAGGAAACUGAAGUAACUCAUAACAGCAAGAAACUUCCCGAAGUGCCCGCUGCCUGGGCAGACCUGUGCACACCUGCGCCCACGGUGAAAAGGGAUUCAUGUCAACAUACGUGAAGAUCAUUUAGAUCAAUUUCCACUCUAAGUGACAACUAUUUCAACUACAAAACAAAGAAGCUAGACCACGAGAGUUUUAAAAAGAUCUACAGCUUUCAACUUCACCUGAGGUACAGGUCUAAAUUCCUGUUAAAGAGUUAAAAGCAAAUUGUUUUAGC